rnacentral:rRNA from 1 species
AUUGAACGCUGGCGGAAUGCUUUACACAUGCAAGUCGAACGGUAGAGGGGGCAACCCCUCGAGAGUGGCGAACGGGUGAGUAAUACAUCGGAACGUGCCCAGUCGUGGGGGAUAACGUAGCGAAAGUUACGCUAAUACCGCAUACGAUCUAAGGAUGAAAGCGGGGGAUCGCAAGACCUCGCGCGAUUGGAGCGGCCGAUAUCAGAUUAGGUAGUUGGUGGGGUAAAGGCUCACCAAGCCAACGAUCUGUAGCUGGUCUGAGAGGACGACCAGCCACACUGGAACUGAGACACGGUCCAGACUCCUACGGGAGGCAGCAGUGGGGAAUUUUGGACAAUGGACGCAAGUCUGAUCCAGCCAUUCCGCGUGCAGGAUGAAGGCCCUCGGGUUGUAAACUGCUUUUGUGCGGAACGAAAAGGUCUCUCUUAAUACGGGGGACUCAUGACGGUACCGUAAGAAUAAGCACCGGCUAACUACGUGCCAGCCGCCGCAGUAACAC